UGUACAGUGCCUGUACUUGUGAAUUGCAGUACAUUUGGAAUCAGACAGUCAAACCAGGAAGUCAGUUUGCUUGCUUCAUUCAUUUCAGCAAACAUCCUUGUUUUUUUAUCUCAUUGAUUUUUAAAGGUUAAGUGUCAUCCCUAUAACCAUUCUAAAAUAGAUAUUGAAAUGAAAAAUACAUAUAACAUUAUUCACUUCAAUGUCCAUAUGAAAAAAUAAAUGUGAGCAGAGAGCGCGUCAUCCAUGCCCAAAGUUGCAGAAGUGUCAUUCUACGACAUCCAAGUGGUCGCCAUAUUGGCUGCAUUAACUGCCCGUGACGUCACCCCCGACAUUCACUGUGGGAGACGAACACGCCCCCUCUGACACGGAAGCUCUUUUCGAAGAAGAGAACAUCUCACAAUUGAGUGAAGUGUCCGGGGCAAUAUUACCCUAUUGUUUCAAGCCAUAUUUAGAUGAUAUGCGGAUCACUUCUAACUAACAACAGACUCCCAGACAGUAUGUAUAAGCCAGGCCGGCCGAAGCUGUGCUCAUCCGCGAGGCAUGACGUGGUAGCCUUCACCGGCGAGCCCGACACGGAAGCCCUCCGACGAACCGGGUCUCUUGGAAACUUAUGAAGGGUAAAACUAAUAGAAACAAACGAGUCCGCUUGAGGGUGCUCCUGCCCCGUAUGUCACUUCCUGCUUCUUGUCAAAAACAAAACCCACAAGAGGAUUUUCAUGGCGGGAGUUACAAAAAGCCAUCUGCGUCAAAAUCAUGUUUUAUGGUGAAAAUAACGGAUGGGUCCAUACCAGCUGCUUUUUUUUUUUUUUUUUUUUUAUUAAUAA